rnacentral:rRNA from 1 species
CCUACGGGGGGCUGCAGUGGGGAAUAUUGGACAAUGGGGGCAACCCUGAUCCAGCCAUGCCGCGUGUGUGAAGAAGGCCCUCGGGUUGUAAAGCACUUUCAGUGAGGAAGAACGCCUGGUGGUUAAUACCCAUCAGGAAAGACAUCACUCACAGAAGAAGCACCGGCUAACUCCGUGCCAGCAGCCGCGGUAAUACGGAGGGUGCGAGCGUUAAUCGGAAUUACUGGGCGUAAAGCGCACGUAGGUGGCUUGAUAAGCCGGUUGUGAAAGCCCCGGGCUCAACCUGGGAACGGCAUCCGGAACUGUCAAGCUAGAGUGCAGGAGAGGAAGGUAGAAUUCCCGGUGGAGCGGUGAAAUGCGUAGCGAUCGGGAGGAAUACCAGUGGCGAAGGCGGCCUUCUGGACUGACACUGACACUGAGGUGCGAAAGCGUGGGUAGCAAACAGGACUAGAUACCCCUGUAGUC